UCUCCAGAUUUGAACGGUUCCUUAAAAGAUUUGGCAUCAACUGGCCUCGAACGAGGAGGAGCGAAAGCGCCGCGGAGUUUCAGAACUUCAGCGCGUCGAAUCAUGUCAGGUUUUGCGAGUAGGUCCCACUCCUGCAAAAGAAAUCAGUCUUAGAUGGGCAUCAAAAAAGUAACUUGUUAUGAAUAUAUGAGAUGGAUAUGAUUUAAACACAUUACCUCUGAGCGACCAAGCUGCAUGUUAGCAGGAUUGGUGCGAUCAAUUUUGUUUUUCCUUGCGAACCUGUCCCACUCCUGCUUGAACAACCAGAGUGAGUUAUAAGACAAUGAAAAACGUUAUUAACAAAUGCAGCAGAGAAAUACUUACAAAAUAAGCAUGUGUUUCACUCUUGAGGUGGUUUGUGAAAUCUUCUAAGAUUGGGGCAUCAAAAUAGCAUACUGAACAAGACCAGGGAUAUCCACCCGUUCCAUGAAAAAUAAGUCUUGAUGUUGUCACCAGUUUAUUAUCGGCAUCUGUGAAAACCAAAUAGAAAAAGUUUUAAAGUAAUUCAGAAACAAUUUUGGUUUUUAUUUCAAAAAGAGAGAGAGAAAGAGGAGAAACACCUGACAGUAAAGUUUCCCAGAAACAGAGUUUAGGCAGAGAGGGUGGAGCUGGGUUUGGCUGAGGAUAAGUAGGAAGAAUUAUGUAUCCUUCCUCUUCAAGGCCAGAAAAUGUAGAAGCUAAGUUUAACUAGUCCUUUGCUAACCAGAGAUCUAGCAGAAACAAUACUCCGCCAGCCAUAUGACGGAGAAGAUGAACGAAUCGGUUCCAGGGGUGAGGCGUUCUUGUAAUACCGACCUUUAUCAAGGCCAGAAAAUGUAGAAGCUAAAUGUUCCAGUUCCUCAUGAACGGUUAUGACCAUUAUAGUAGCCGGAGGAGGAUUCCUACUGGCCCACUGAUACAAAUCCGUUUGAACUCCUGUUUCAGAAAAGGAUGGCAUGCUGAAUCCAAACCCUUAAAAAGUAAAAAGAGAGAGAGAGAAGAAAGAAGAUUAACCGUGAGCAUGUUUAAGAGAGAUUCCAGUGGAAGAAAGCUUCCUCAUGACGUCUUCAUGUUAGAUUGGUUUAUAUGGGCCGAUGGGCUUUCCCCAUCUUUUCAACCAACAAUCAAGGGCGAGGACUUACUACCAUUCCAAACCUAACUGAGAGCCAACAACCUUUCCACGUUCAUCUUCAAGUCUUCCACCGACCAAAAGGAUUAGUAUGGAUUUGGGCUCAAGUUGAUGAUUGUAAUGAUAUGGGCCCAAUCCUACUCGAAGCCCAAUAGCAAAAUAAUCCCCUUUUUUUUCCGCACCUUCUGCUUCGGUCUGUGUUUUUCCAAUAGCCUUUGAAGAACUGAUAUAAUCCUAAUAUAUACAAAAGGAUUAGGUCAGAGUUUUUGACUAGGGGUGGGCAAAAAACCUAAAUCAAACCGAGUCAAACCGAACCAACCAAACAGAAAUCGACUCAAACCAAACCGAAAUCGACUCAAACCAUUCGGUUAAAAAUUUCCCCAACCCGAAUGGUUCGGUUCAGUUCGGUUUAAAACCGAACCGAACCAAGAAACCGAUGUGUUAAUUAUUUAAAUUACAAAUAUUAGUAAUAAUACCAAUAUACUAAAAUUGUAAUAAUAAACUAUGUAUUUUCUAUUUUUAUUCAGUAACUUAUAUGUUUCUAACCUAGUAAUCAUCAAAAUAUUUGAUUUAAAAAAAAAUAGAAAAGUUUGUAUUCUUAUAUAUGUAAAUGUGGAUGUUAAAUCUAAACCUAAAACCUAAAGCAAAUUUUAUUAAAAACAAAAAAUCUUUUCCACAGCGUCACAUGGAAGAUGAUUCAUUGCAGGAUUUUUUAUAAUGAUAUAAGAGACAUUACUAAUGAUGUUGGUUUUUUUUUUACUUUAGUUAACUUUCAUUUGUUUUAAUACUUAUAUAAUUUUUGUGACUUUUUAAAAAGUUUUUGUUUCAGUUUUAUAUUUAAUUUAGUUCACAUAGUUUAUGUUUACAUAAUUUAUCUUUAAGAAAAUUAAGCUAAGAAGAAUCUAAUUAAGCCGAUCCAAAAUACAAACCGAACCGAACCGAAUACAAACCGAGCGGAAUACAAACCAAACCGAAUAUAAACCGAACCGAACACAAACCAAACCAAACUAACUAUUGCUUAUUUCAAUUAGAAAAAUACUAGAACCUGACUAACCAAACCGAACUGAACCCGAAUAAAGGUAAAAACAAAAAUAAAUAACUUGUAAAUAUUAAAACUAUAAGAAAUUACCUAAUAGUGAGUCGCCUCUCACUCAGCAGUUGUUAUAGUCAUUUAGCUUGACUUUGGAGGUUGUUUGUGGCUAGUAAUGAUCAAAGUGACCACUUGGUUGUAUGCAAGUGUCAACUUCAUCUUCGCUCAUCUGGAACCAAGUGACAAUGAAGCUUCUAAUGGCUUCAUCUCCCCUAGUCCAUUGAUUCUUUAAUCUUUCUCUAGCAACCUCACCAGCAUGCAUCCUAUGCUGAAGAUUUCCAAUAUUGCGCUGUUGCAUUCUAAGUCUGGCAUAUGUUGAUUCUGUGAUGUCCUUCAGCUCUUGGUAGACAUCUUCUUCCAGCAAGUCUUGAGAGAACGUGAUCUCACCAAGCUUAUCAUGUAAAGCCUUCACUGUUACCAGCUUGUUUCAUGAUCUGGUAUAACCGUUGUCGAUCGAUGGGUGUGUCUGUCUGUCGAUCAAUGGUGACGAUUAUGCUUGAGAAUCGAGUUGUCUUUGAAUCGUGUCCAUCUCAUGUUGCAAAGCAUCCAGACGUGUGGUCAAGAAAUCUACACCAUUACAUAAUAAUACCAAUAUACUAAAACUCAGUUUUUCUCUCUCUACAGAUAAAUCAUCUCUAGAGCAUUGGACCAUCUUUUUGGUUUCUUCAACAAGAAAGACCUUAGAUCCGACACUUUGUCUCAGAAUCUCUCAAAGCUGCUCUUUCAUAUUCAUCUUUUCUCUAUCUCUUUAUCUCAUCAUAUCUUCAUAAAUGGAUAAUGCUCUCUUAGCUCUUUCUCUAAAAGAUGAUGACGAUGCCCCUUACAAUUUACCAGAUCUUCCUCAAUACUAUGCUACAGAACGGAAUGCAUGCAGUCUAAUCGGCCGUCUUCUCAACCCGGAACAUCUAAACAUCGCGGAUCUCAUACUUGAUAUGCCGAGGAAAUGGCAAAUCGUCAAUCGAGUUAGAGGUAUCGCUCUCACCAAAGAAAGAUUCCAGUUCAUCUCAUGCAUGCAUAUGGCCUUCAAGAUGUCCUCGACAAAGGCAUGCAAACCUUCAAAGACUGGGGUCUAGCUAUAGAAAGAUGGGUAGAAAGACCUCCAUCGGGAUAUCUACAAUUCGUCUCAAUUUUGGUCAGGAUAAGGAAUAUUCCGGGUAAUCACUACACAAUACCAGCCAUCUCAGAGCUUGCGGGCUGAUUGGUCAUGUGGAAGUAGUAUCUUUUGAUCAAGAAAAAUCUUAGAGACAAGACUAUGUUCGAGCCAAGAUUCGGAUUGAAGUAAACAAGCCCCUCAAGAGAUCAACGGUUCUGAAUUUACCUGGUGGAGAACAAACUACUAUAUACUUUUUCUAUGAAAAAGUUCAUAAGAGAUGUACUCGCUGUCAAAGACUCACGCAUGCAAAAGAUAUAUGUCCUCUCCUAGCCAACUCUCAAAACAUGCAAGCUUCUUUGGUUAUCAACCCACGAUCUUCUCUCUCUACAAAAAACCAUCAAGUCUUAUCUGAAGAUGAUCCGCUGUUUGGAGUGUUACAAGAAGAUCAAGUUGGUAUUAAUCCCCUAUCUGGUCGCCCUCGCAUAGCUCCGGAAGUACUUCAUGAAAUGCACACCUAUCUAUUGGCCACAAGCAAAGAAGAUAGACACAUUAGAGAGCAGAGAGUGAUUUUCUCGAUGAAGGAAGCAGAGGAAAAUCAAGUUAUUCAGAAGUCGAUGCUUCAGCUCAUUCCUCCUCAGAUCUUCACUACAGAUUUAAACAAUGGAAAGGGAAUUGUGUUCAACUUUGAUAAAAGUAUCAACGACUUUCAAACCACUAAUCUCAAUCCUCAACCUCCAAAGCUUAUGGCAUCGGCGAUCUUUGCUGCUCAUUCAUUGGCUAACUCUACGGCCAAUGUAUUUUGCAGACUCUUUCUCCCUCCUAGCCAAGCUUCUUUGAGUCAAAUAUCAGCUAUUCCUUUUGAUGGGCUCUCAAGCUUUCCCAUGCUUAAGGAAAAACCAAAGAGAAAUCAUGGAAGAUACAAAAGACUCCCUAUCUCUCAGAAGAAAGUCCCGAAAGGCUCAGUAAAACAUUAUACUCUGGUUCAAAAUGAGGAGAGUCCUAACAAGAAACGCAAAGCAGAAGAUGAUUUAGAUGAAACUUUCAGGUCAUCUAAGAAGAAAGGACAUGGUUCGAUGGAAGACGUUUCUCUCAAGAAGAAAACAUAAGUUGAAUUGGCUGAUGCAUCCAAGGCUGCACAGAGCAAUGCAUCAAUGAUGGUCCCGCAUGAGGGACCGUCAAAAACGUAAUGAGUUUCUUCAGUUGGAAUUGUCGGGGUUUGGGUGAUCCUCAAGGUCUGACAGUUCAACGCCUCACAGAGCUACGACAUACGUACUUUCCUGAGGUGCUAUUUCUAAUGGAAACCAUGAAUCCUAGGAAUGCUCUAGUAGAUAUGCAAUGUUGGCUUGGGUAUGAUCAUGUCUACACUGUUGACCCGGUUAAUACGUGGGGGGGGGGGGNNNNNNNNNNNNNNNNNNNNNNNNNNNNNNNNNNNNNNNNNNNNNNNNNNNNNNNNNNNNNNNNNNNNNNNNNNNNNNNNNNNNNNNNNNNNNNNNNNNNNNNNNNNNNNNNNNNNNNNNNNNNNNNNNNNNNNNNNNNNNNNNNNNNNNNNNNNNNNNNNNNNNNNNNNNNNNNNNNNNNNNNNNNNNNNNNNNNNNGCUAAAGUUGCGUAGAUGAAAAAAUAGAUCAGAAACACAAUAGAUUUUUUCAGAUAAGGAAAAUAUGGGAUAAGUUGUUGACUAAUUACCAGUUUCAGUUGUUGGUAUGUCAUUCCACUUGAAUUUGCCUGAUUCUAGGUUUGUGUUCGCAAUCACUUGGAGCACCUAGCAACCUCAAAACUAUCGACUUUCACAAUGGAAUCUGCUUUCAAAGAUGGCAUGUAAUGAUUAGCAUGUCCGACGGGAGUAAACCCAUGAAUCACAGAAUCUGCAAAUAGUAUUAUCCAACAAAGAAUCAGAAAAUAAAUUAAAACAAUUAUGUUAAAUAAGUGUGAUAAAUCGAAGAUUAACUUACCUUUUCAUCGAGGAAAAGAACGGUGAUUCCCACAAACUCCCUGUCUUUCUUGAAGUUCAGGGAAUCCCAGAAGCGGAGGAAGCCAUAGGCUAUGCUCUGACUACUAAGACAAAGACGGAGAGACUCGAAGGUUGAGUGACGGACGCCGGGACGCCGGUUUGACGAACUGGAGAGGCAGAGAGAAACAUUUUCUAGAAGAUGGUUAAAGCUAAGAGGAAUCAAUGAGUUUUGUGGAGAUGCAGAUUGAGGGUAUUAUGCCAUCGGAACGGAAUUAUACACAGUUUUUUCUUAUACCAAAGAAGACAAAUGCUUCUCUGAUGUCUGAUCUUCGGCCUAUUAGUUUAUGUUAGGUUAUGUUCAAGACUAUUUCUAAAAUCCUAGCUGUCAGACUUCAGCAUUUUCUUCCAAAGAUCGUUUUUCCAACUCAAUCGGCAUUUGUAUUAGAUAGACUUAUAUCUGAUAACAUUAUUCUCACCCAUGAAGCUGUCCAUAGCCUUAGAACUCAUGAUGCAAUCUCAAAAUAUUUCAUGGCGGCUAAGACGGAUAUGUCAAAAGCUUUCGACAGAGUUGAAUGGAACUAUUUGAAAGCUCUUCUUCAGUCUCUUGGUUUUGACAAUAUUUGGGUUAGAUGGAUCAUGUCUUUUGUAACCAAGGUCAACUAUUCUAUUCUUUUGAAUGGCCAAUCAUAUGGUUUCAUUUCCCCUGAGAGAGGUUUAAAACAAGGCGAUUUGUUAUCUCAUUUUCUCUUCGUUCUUUGCCCUGAAGGGCUCACGCAUAUGCUGAACCAAGCUGCUUCUAGGAGAGAUUUAAAUGGGAUUCAAUUCAACUUGGAUGGUCCUGAAAUUCACCACUUGUUUUUUGCAGACGCCAAUCUGUUCCUCUACAAGGCUGAUAUUUACCAAUGUCAGAUCUUUCAAGACCUUUUACACAAGUAUGGUGAAGCAACAAGACAGGUCAUAAACCUUUUAAAAUCCUCCCUCACUUUUGGUAAGAAUAUCAGUCUGAAUUUAAAAGAACAUAUUCAGUCAAAGAUUCAUAUUUAUUCAGAAGGUGGAGCUGGAACUUAUCUUGGUCUUCCAGAAUGUUUUAGUGGCUCGAAAGUGGAAAUGCUUGCAUAUAUUCAGGAAAAAAUGAAAGGCAUGAUGUCUAGUUGGAAAAGAGAUCAUUUUGAAGUUUGUUGCCAUGGCUAUGCCAAUUCCGCUAUAUCUUGUUUUAAACUACCAAAGACCACAUGCAACAAUCUCACAUCUGCUAUGACAGCGUUCUGGUGGAAAGAUUCGGAGGACAAAGGCAUGAUACAUUGGCUCAGCUGGGAUAAGCUAUGUGUCUCAAAAUAUUUGGGAGGAAUGAGUUUUAAGGAUAUUGAAUUAUUCAAUCAGGCUCUCCUUGCUAAACAAGCUUGGCGUAUUCUCUCUGAUCAGUCGUCUAUUCUGAGCCAUUUUUUGAAAAGUUUCUAUUUUCCUAAUGGAGCUUUCUUAUCAGCUCCUUUUGGUAAUAGACCCUCAUAUGCUUGGUGCAGCAUCCUCUAUGGCAGAGGAAUCCUAGCUAAGGGUUUAAGGCAUAUGAUAGGUAAUGGACUUUCAAUAUCAGUUUGGAGUACGCCUUAGUUGGUUGAUGGAGAAAGGCUGUGCAUUCCUCUUAUGAAAAAUAUCUUGGUAGACUUAAACCUCAAGGUAUCAGACCUCCUACUUCCUAACACUCACUUAUGGGACUUUCAGAAGUUGGAGAACCUAUUUUACAGACAGGAUAUUGAGCUGAUUUAAAAGAAAAAGCCAGUUAUUUCUUCACCGGAUUUCUACUUCUGGAACCAUUCGCGCUCUGGAGAGUAUUAUGUAAAGUCUAGAUAUUGGUUUGCAGAAAAGAAUUCUAGAAAAGAGGCUUUAGUUUCAUGACAAGCCCGGCCUUCACUAAGUGGUAUUAAGCAAUGCAUAUGGACUCUUAAAACUGCACCAAAAAUUAAGAUUUUUCUUUGGAAAGUCAUUAGCGGUGCCAUCCUUGUUGUUGAUCAUCUCGUCGAAAGAGGAAUGAAGGUUGACACUCAAUGCCAAAUUUGUGGUUUGGAGGGAAAAUCAAUGAAUCAUGUCCUUUUUACUUGUACUAUUGUAAGGCAGUCAUGGGCUCUAUGUAACUUUCCUAUUCCAGAGAAUGGUUUUGACCCCUUCUCCAUCUACUCCAACAUUUACUACGUUCUACAGAUGGGGAAAAAUCAAAGUUGUCCUUAUAAUAUCAGAAGGAGUGGCCCUUGGAUUAUGUGGUCAAUAUGGAAGAAUAGAAAUUGUCUUCUCUUCAAUGGAAGUUUAUCAGUGGGAUCAACCAUUACGAGAUCAAUCUUUGUAGAGAUAGAUCACUGGUUUUUAGUUAAAGAUUUAGAAGACCAAGAGCGUGCAACUGAUCUAGAAAGAAAGAAAAGAAUUAUUUUUGGCUGGAAACCACCACAUGUUACUUGGUUGAAAUGUGACAUUGGUUAUGUUUGGGACAAAAAUCGAUUUGAAUGUGAAGCGUCUUGGAUUCUUAGGAAUUCAGAUGGAAAAGUGUUACUUCGUGGAAGAAGGUCUUUCAACAAUAUUCUCAGCAAGACAGAAUAUUCUUUUGAAAGUUGGAGCUGGGCAAUUAAAAAUAUGAAAUCCCUCCACUUUGAUAACAUUAUCUUCUCUAGUGAAGAUCAUACUCUAGUAGGAGCUUUAUCCAAACCUGCUGUUUGGCCCGCUUUAAAGUUCUACUAUCUGAAACUCUCUUCUUUGCUUAAUAAUUGUUUGUCUUGGCGAGUAGAAUCGCAGUCACGCCAGGCCCUUAAUGUGGCUUUUCGUAUUGCUAAAUAUUGUUGUUAAGGAAAAUAUGUUUCAAUCAGGGGCGGACCCACGUGUAGUGAUGUGGGGUCACUUGACACCACAAAAACAAUAAAACCUAAAAUUUUAAGCUAUGUACAUUAGUUGACACUGAUAGUUUUGGUUGAAAAAGUAGUAAAUGAACCCACAAACCCGGGUUCAACUCCCUUAAUGACCUUUAUUUUUUUAUUUUUUAUAUUUAUGACCGUUGGUUUCGCCGUUGGUUUCAAUCCUACAUUGCUAGAGGUUUUCCUGAUUGCCUUAGGGAUCUUUUUAUUUAGGAAUCCUCUGUUUUCUUUGUGUUCUUUGGAUCACCGUUGAUCCCUCUCUGUACUUUGAAUGUAUGUUCUUUGGGUAUUAUAAUGAAAGUGUUUAAAAAAUAUAUAUAUAAAAAAGGAAGAAGAAUCUCCCCUAAGAAGAAAACAAAAAUCAAAACAAGUAAAUGAAAUAUAAUGGUAACUAGUAGACGUAGACCGACCUUGGGGAUGAAAUACUUGUUUAGAACCUCAAAUUUUAGGGUUUCAUAUAAUAGCCCUAAAAAUUUGUAUUUUUUCUUAUAGGAAAACUCGCUUUUACAUAAAUAUCUCUUAUAGUCAAGACCGGAUCUGGACACGACUACAUGAAACAUUGGAAUUGGUAUCCUGAGUUUUUAUAAGGUUAUAUACAGAAGUUGAAUCUCCUAAAACUAUGGAAAAAAAAUUAUAAGAAAUAUUUUUUAGUUUCCGAGUUUUUAAGCUCUGCUUACAGUCAAACUAUAUUUAAAUAUCUUUUAAAAAAAAAAGUAUCAAAAUGGAAAAAUAGAAUAAUAUGCAAUUCCUAUAAACAAAAUUUUAAAAAAAUAUAAUCCACUUCAGUUUCCUUUUGUUUAUAAUGGUAUGAAGGUGUAUUUCUGAAGAUAUCUCGAUUUUAUUUGAUCGUGAUUGUUUUUGCACGUGCGUGGUGUUCGCAAGCUGCUCGGUAUUCAGAAGAGCUGGUCGGAGCUCUUUUGUUGGGGUAAACUAUAUACAUAGUAUUAAUAUAAUUAUUUAGUUUGGUUGGUCGGCUCAGAUUCGGUUUUACAAAGCUAUGGAUCAUCCAAAUCCAAGAAGACCUAAUCAAAAAUUGUUACUUAGGGGAAUUGGAUUUUUUUCACCAAUGUAAAGCCUGAAUUUGUACCAAAGCUAUAUUUUAAUUUUGGUCUUUCUCUUUUAAUAAUAUAAAAUAGAUAUACAAAAGUUAGUAUUUUUAUAUAUAUAUAUAUAAAGUUGAAGCGGACUCGAUACAUAUAGGAAACUAUAUACAAAAACAGUUGGAUAUUCGGAAGAUGGAGAAGGUUAAUCCCAACAAGAAAAGCGAAAAUGAGAUAUAAAGUUCUUUUAUUUUACCAUGCAUAGUAAAGUUUCAAAUACAGGCACCCAACAUUAUUGUAAAAAAACUAAGAAUUUCAUUGCAAAGUCCACAACUCUUCUCCUAUUCUCCAGAUUUGAACGGUUCCUUAAAAGAUUUGGCAUCAACUGGCCUCGAACGAGGAGGAGCGAAAGCGCCGCGGAGUUUCAUAACUUCAGCGCGUCGCAUCAUGCCAGCUUUUGCGAGUAGGUCCCACUCCUGCAAAAGAAAUCAGUCUUAGACGGGCAUCAAAAAAGCAACUUGUUAUGAAUAUAUGAGAUGGAUAUGAUUUAAACACAUUACCUCUGAGCGACCAAGCUGCA
rnacentral:lncRNA from 1 species